rnacentral:piRNA from 1 species
UGACAGGGAAGGCUCCCGUGUGUGGAU